rnacentral:rRNA from 1 species
GACGAACGCUGGCGGCGUGCCUAAUACAUGCAAGUUGAGCGCUGAAGGUUGGUACUUGUACCAACUGGAUUAGCAGCGAACGGGUGAGUAACGCGUGGGGAAUCUGCCUUUGAGCGGGGGACAACAUUUGGAAACGAAUGCUAAUACCGCAUAAAAACUUUAAACACAAGUUUUAAGUUUGAAAGAUGCAAUUGCAUCACUCAAAGAUGAUCCCGCGUUGUAUUAGCUAGUUGGUGAGGUAAAGGCUCACCAAGGCGAUGAUACAUAGCCGACCUGAGAGGGUGAUCGGCCACAUUGGGACUGAGACACGGCCCAAACUCCUACGGGAGGCAGCAGUAGGGAAUCUUCGGCAAUGGACGAAAGUCUGACCGAGCAACGCCGCGUGAGUGAAGAAGGGUUUCGGAUCGUAAAACUCUGUUGGUAGAGAAGAACGUUGGUGAGAGUGGAAAGCUCAUCAAGUGACGGUAACUACCCAGAAAGGGACGGCUAACUACGUG